ACGGAGGCGCAGUGGGGAAUAUUGGACAAUGGGGGAAACCCUGAUCCAGCGACGCCGCGUGAGUGAAGAAGUAUUUCGGUAUGUAAAGCUCUAUCAGCAAGGAAGAAAAUGACGGUACUUGACUAAGAAGCUCCGGCUAAAUACGUGCCAGCAGCCGCGGUAAUACGUAUGGAGCAAGCGUUAUCCGGAUUUACUGGGUGUAAAGGGAGCGUAGACGGCUUUGCAAGUCUGAAGUGAAAACCCAGGGCUCAACCCUGGGACUGCAUUGGAAACUGUCAAACUAGAGUGCAGGAGAGGUAAGUGGAAUUCCUAGUGUAGCGGUGAAAUGCGUAGAUAUUAGGAGGAACACCAGUGGCGAAGGCGGCUUACUGGACUGUAACUGACGUUGAGGCUCGAAAGCGUGGGGAGCAAACAGGAUUAGAUACCCUGGUA
rnacentral:rRNA from 1 species